AAGUUCUAAUUCGUAGAUAGAAGGCGACACUCGCCUAUAUAAACCUCUAAGUCGACCAACCUUGAACAAUCAAACACAGCUAUUGAUCUUAACGUUUUCCAAGACCAGAGAAAAGCAAAGAAGGAUGAGAAAAGGAGGCACCUUUAGAUUUUUUGUGCUAGCGGUUCUGUUUUCCGCCCUUGUGGUCCUCGGACCAUGCGAAGGAUUUAACGGGGGUACUGGGAACUGGGAUACAAGACGAAUGGCAAAUAAACGUGCACUGGAUAGCAUGUGCAGAGUGGCGAGGGAACAUUGCAAACGGGAGAUCUUACAAGACGAUGACUUCGCUAUUCCUGGUCCUCGUCCAGUCCAGUGAAAGGAAAACACGGUGCAGUCAAGAUUACAGACACAAGAUCUUAAAAGAAACAUCAACCCAACUGUUAUUAUUAAUAAUCUUUACACUGAUGACAACGUAACUUGACAAACUCGUAAAUGACAUAGUUUGAACUUAUACAUAGAAGUCACUAUUACAAUAAAGAUCAGAGCAAAGCAACACAA